UACAGAGGGUGCGAGCGUUGUUCGGAAUUACUGGGCGUAAAGCGCGCGUAGGUGGUGUGUUAAGUCUGCCGGUCAAAUGCCGAGGCUCAACCUCGUUGCACGCCGGGGAUACUGGCACGCUAGAGACAAGUAGAGGCAAGCGGAAUUCCGGGUGUAGUGGUGGAAUGCGUAGAGAUCCGGAGGAACACCAGAGGCGAAGGCGGCCUGCUGGGCUGCACCUGACGCUGAGCCGCGAAAGCCAGGGGAGCGAACGGG
rnacentral:rRNA from 1 species